rnacentral:rRNA from 1 species
AUUGAACGCUGGCGGCAGGCCUAACACAUGCAAGUCGAGCGGAUGAAGGGAGCUUGCUCCUGGAUUCAGCGGCGGACGGGUGUGUAAUGCCUAGGAAUCUGCCUGGUAGUGGGGGAUAACGUCCGGAAACGGGCGCUAAUACCGCAUACGUCCUGAGGGAGAAAGUGGGGGAUCUUCGGACCUCACGCUAUCAGAUGAGCCUAGGUCGGAUUAGCUAGUUGGUGGGGUAAAGGCCUACCAAGGCGACGAUCCGUAACUGGUCUGAGAGGAUGAUCAGUCACACUGGAACUGAGACACGGUCCAGACUCCUACGGGAGGCAGAAGAGGGGAAUAUUGGACAAUGGGCGAAAGCAUGAUACAGCCAUGCCGCGUGUGUGAAGAAGGUCUUCGGAUUGUAAAGCACUUUAAGUUGGGAGGAAGGGAAGUAAGUUAAUACCUUGCUGUUGUGACGUUACCAAAAGAAUAAGCACCGGCUAACUUCGUG